GGUUAUGGCUCAGUGGUAGAGCACUUGCCUAUCAUGUGUGAGGUCCUGGGUUUGAUCCUCAGCACCA
rnacentral:tRNA from 1 species